rnacentral:rRNA from 1 species
GAUGAACGCUGGCGGCGUGCCUAAUACACGCAAGUCGAGCGAAUGGAUUAAGAGCUUGCUCUUAUGAAGUUAGCGGCGGACGGGUGAGUAACACGUGGGUAACCUGCCCAUAAGACUGGGAUAACUCCGGGAAACCGGGGCUAAUACCGGAUAACAUUUUGAACCGCAUGGUUCGAAAUUGAAAGGCGGCUUCGGCUGUCACUUAUGGAUGGACCCGCGUCGCAUUAGAGAGUUGGUGAGGUAACGGCUCACCAAGGCAACGAUGCGUAGCCCACCUGAGAGGGUGAUCGGCCACACUGAGACUGAGACACGGCCCAGACUCCUACGGGAGGCAGCAGUAGGGAAUCUUCCGCAAUGGACGAAAGUCUGACGGAGCAACGCCGCGUGAGUGAUGAAGGCUUUCGGGUCGUAAAACUCUGUUGUUAGGGAAGAACAAGUGCUAGUUGAAUAAGCUGGCACCUUGACGGUACCUAACCAGAAAGCCACGGCUAACUACGUGCCAGCCGCCGCGGUAA